UCAUUAUUGAAUAAAUUUGAACAGGCUGUUGCUGGCCCCUCAUGGGUAUGUGCACGCUUGUCAUUUUUGUUUUUCCAACUGUGCACAUAUUGUAGACUCUGGAAGUUUUUUUUUAUUGAUUCAGAUAGAUUGAGGACUAGUUCAAGCUUUUCCUUGUGCUUCCGGGUCUAUGUUACUUUCACAAACUAUGAAACAUGUUUUAGAAUGUUGUAAAAAAAAUGGAAAUAUAUACAACUUUCAGCAACGGAUCUCUUGGCUCUCGCAUCGAUGAAGAACACAGCGAAAUGUGAUAAGUAAUGUGAAUUGCAGAAUUCAGUGAAUCAUCGAAUCUUUGAACGCAUCUUGCGCUCCUUGGUAUUCUGAGGAGCAUGCCUGUUUGAGUGUCAUUAAACUCUCAACUACAUUGAUUUUUUAAAAUUAGUGUAGCUUGGAUUAUGGGGCUUUUGCAGGCUUUUAAAAGUCGGCUUCCCUGAAAUGCAUUAGUGGUAUCUGAGCAGACUACAGGUGUGAUAAAUAUCUAUGCCUUUGCUGAAAACAGAUUACACUGCUUCAAAC
rnacentral:rRNA from 1 species